GGGCAGGUAGCACAGUCUGGCCGAUGCGUCCGGCUCUUACCCGGAAGACGGGGGUUCGAAUCGCUCCCUGCUCA
rnacentral:tRNA from 1 species